UUAACAUGCGCUUGGGACCAUGGCAAUUUUGGGCCUUUUUGGCUAUGAACCAAAAGGGGAUUGCAUUAAGGUCAGGGUAAAACAUAGCAUUAUCAAUCCAAACUGCUGAUUUGUGAUUCUCCAGCUGUCCACAUGCAGUUCACUCAGGAUUCCUGCUAAACCAGAGCAG